GAAAUAUUUUAUAUUAAGCUGCUAACUUAAUUUAUAGUGAUUUUAUCAUUAAUAUUUCU
rnacentral:tRNA from 1 species